rnacentral:tRNA from 1 species
GGCCGGUGGCGGCCGGCGGCACCACGGCGCUGGACCCGUUGACGGUGACCGGCAGCCGGGCGCGGCUGGAAACCGCGACCGGCCC